rnacentral:tRNA from 1 species
ACCUGGGUGGCUCAGUAGGUUGAGUGUCUGACUUCAGCUCAGGUCACAAUUUCACGGUUUGUGAGUUUGAGCCUCACGUCAGGUU